GUGGUAAAUAUUUGGAGUGGAAGCCAUCAUUUUUCACACAAGGCUGUGCCAGAUAGGAUUCCAAAAUAUUGAAUAAUAUCUUACCACAGACGCGUGAAAAUGUACCAUAUUUGUGACAAACACGGAGAGAAGUUGGUGCUGGCUAACCGAUUCAUUCGUAUAAAAAAACCAAUAGCAGCAGCAUGGAAUGGAUAGAUGCAUGGUGUCAAAAUUGAAUAAAUGCAAGAUUGGCCCAUUAAAUUUGUGAUGGCAAGGAUGUGCAGAAGCCAGCCAAGAGUAAAGGGUACAUAUGAUCAUAGGCCCAUCAUGUGCUUCUGCUAACAUGCACAGGUAGGUUGUGAUAGAUACACUAGUACUUCUAACUCAUCACACACCACUCAAAUUCCUAUUCUACAUCAUAAACUUCCUCUUAUAUAUUUUCACUCUUUCAUUUUGU